rnacentral:tRNA from 1 species
GGAUAUAGCUCAGUGGUAGAGCACUUGCCUAGCAUGUUCAAGACCCUGGGAUCAGUUCCCAGCCA